CAGUAAGGAAUAUUGGUCAAUGGACGCAAGUCUGAACCAGCCAUGCCGCGUGAAGGAUUAAGGUCCUCUGGAUUGUAAACUUCUUUUAUUUGGGACGAAAAAGGGCCUUUCUAGGUCAACUGACGGUACCAGAUGAAUAAGCACCGGCUAACUCCGUGCCAGCAGCCGCGGUAAUACGGAGGGUGCAAGCGUUAUCCGGAUUCACUGGGUUUAAAGGGUGCGUAGGCGGGUAGGUAAGUCAGUGGUGAAAUCCUAGAGCUCAACUCUAGAACUGCCAUUGAUACUAUUUAUCUUGAAUAUUGUGGAGGUAAGCGGAAUAUGUCAUGUAGCGGUGAAAUGCUUAGAUAUGACAUAGAACACCUAUUGCGAAGGCAGCUUACUACGCAUAUAUUGACGCUGAGGCACGAAAGCGUGGGGAUCAAACAGGAUUAGAUACCCCUGGUAGA
rnacentral:rRNA from 1 species